rnacentral:tRNA from 1 species
AGGUCAGACCACUAUUGGCGCCGCCUCACCACCCGACCAAGAGCCUUCUACUCUCUAGGUCGCAGGUUCGAGUCCUGCCGGGG